AUACCUUUUAAAAGCAUGAAACCCUUCAAAAGCACAAAGUUGACUUUUAUUAUUUUGUGCUUUUUGGGGAAGUUUUGCUUC
rnacentral:pre_miRNA from 1 species